GUCUAUGGCCAUGCCACCAUGAACAUGCCUGAUCUCGUCUGAUCUUGGGAGCUAAGCAGGCCUGGUUAGUACUUGGAUGGGAGACUACCUAGGAAUACCAGGUGCUAUAGGCG
rnacentral:rRNA from 1 species